CAGUUCAGGUACGACCACGCCGGCAUCACUCGGGGGUCUCCGUGAAUUCACGUAUAGUUUCCAAUCAACACCUAUCAUAAGCACCGAUGGCCUGCCCUCCCCAAUGCCACCUGGUAAUAGGCAACGUCGUGCAUCAAUGCAAGACGCUAUAGAUUUCCGGAAAAUAGAUUCAAAACUUUACGAUAGAAGGUCGUUACAAAGACAACAGUCUGUCGCAAGCAUCGAGGAGGAUCCUCUUGGAAGUAUUAACUUUAGUAUCGAAUUUAACUACAAAACAAGCUUGCUCACUGUGUACCUUGUUGAAGCAGAAAAUCUUGUAUCACGUGACUUUAGUGGAACUUCUGAUCCAUAUUGUAAAGUAUGCGUUCUUCCCGACAGACGAAAUCAGUAAAAAAGCAAAGUUCAUAGAAAAACUACGAAUCCUGUUUUUGACGAAGAAUUUAUUUUUGAAAUUGAUCCAGAUAUUUAACAUACCAUGACUCUCGAAUUGCUCAUUUUUGACUAUGACCAGAUUUCGCGACAUGACUGCAUUGGACAAGUUAAAUUGCCCCUAGAUAAUGUGGAUUUUUCUCAGCGACAAACGUACUGGAAACCUAUUGCCAAAAGGGAACAAAAAGGAAUAUCAACGAAUGGUGACCUAAUAUUUUCUCUAGGCUACUUGUCUAGUGCUGAAAGAUUAACAGUUGUGGUAAUGAAAGCCCAGAAACUUACGACACACUGAAGAAGGCAAAAUAACAAUGGAUCCCUACGUAAAAGUUUUGCUCAGUUUUGGUAACGGCAAGAAAUCAAAAAAGAAGAAGACAUCAACGAAGCACAAUGUACUCACGCCCGUGUGGAACGAGGCGUUAACCUUUAAUCUGCCAAAAGACUUCUUGAACUCUGUUUCUCUGGAGUUCCAUGUAUGUCAUGACAAUAAAAUGGGAAAUGAUGAAAUUCUAGGACGAACAAAGAUCUCGAAAGAUUCAAAUGGGGAUGAAAGAUUUCACUGGGAUGAAAUGGUGAACUGCAGAAGUGCAAUUGCCAGAUGGCAUACCCUCACGUCGAAGUGAUGAUUUCACAAUUCAAGCUAAUCUUGUGAAAAAUCAAACUUGUUUCUUUGAGGUCAG